rnacentral:rRNA from 1 species
CAGCAGCCGCGGGAAUACGUAGGGUGCGAGCGUUAAUCGGAAUUACUGGGCGUAAAGCGUGCGCAGGCGGUUUUGUAAGACAGGCGUGAAAUCCCCGGGCUCAACCUGGGAAUGGCGCUUGUGACUGCAAAGCUAGAGUGCGGCAGAGGGGGAUGGAAUUCCGCGUGUAGCAGUGAAAUGCGUAGAUAUGCGGAGGAUCACCGAUGGCGAAGGCGAUCCCCUGGGCCUGCACUGACGCUCAUGCACGAAAGCGUGGGGAGCAAACAGGAUUAGAGACCCCCGUAGUCCCUGUCUCUUAUAC